rnacentral:misc_RNA from 1 species
UAGUUUUUAGUUUAAUCUCCAGAACUGAGGUCCUGUCACUCAUGAUUUCUUAUGAUGAUUUAUCUUAAUGCAAUUUCCUUUUGUUUUUAAAACAUAUAUAUAUAAUUGCGACAAAAGUGAUGCAAUGAACAUCCCAAGUUUGUGAAUUCACCUGACCUGCCCAGUUAAAGUAUUUCUAUUUUUUUAUUUUUAGUUUCAUUUGUCUAUCUUGGAAGGGAAAACUUGACAAUUUCUAAUUAUCUAUUUGUGUCAGUAUUCCACAUUUACAUAUAAUUCUCAUUG